rnacentral:rRNA from 1 species
UACGGAGGGUGCAAGCAUUAAUCGGCUUUAUUGGGCGUAAAGGGCGCGUAGGCGGGUUUGUAAGUCAGAUGUGAAAUUCCCAAGCUCAACUUCGGAGCUGCAUUUGAAACUGCGAACCUAGAGGAUUGGCGGAGAAAAUGGAAUUCCACGUGUAGCGGUGAAAUGCGUAGAUAUGUGGAAGAACACCGGUGGCGAAAGCGGUUUUCUAGCUUAUACCUGACGCUGAGGCGCGAGAGCAAGGGGAGCAAACAGG